CAGCAGCCGCGGUAAUACCGGCGGCCCGAGUGGCGGUCACUAUUAUUGGGCUUAAAGCGUCCGUAGCCGGGUUGGGAAGUCCUCCGGGAAAUCUGGCCGCUUAACGGUCAGAAUGCCGGAGGAUACUCCCAGCCUAGGGAGCGGGAGAGGCCGAGGGGAUUCCCGGAGGAGGGGGGAAAUCCUAUAAUCCCGGGAGGACCACCUGUGGCGAAGGCGCUCGGCUGGAACGCGUCCGACGGUGAGGGACGAAGGCCAGGGGAGCAAACCGGAUUAGAUACCCGGGUAGUCCUGGCUGUAAACGAUGCGGACUUUGUGUCGGACAAGCUAUGAGCUUGUCCGGUGCCGGAGGGAAACCGUUAAGUCCGCCGCCUGGGGAGUACGGCCGCAAGGCUGAAACUUAAAGGAAUUGGUGGG
rnacentral:rRNA from 1 species